GACAGAGGGUGCAAACGUUGUUCGGAAUUACUGGGCGUAAAGCGCGUGUAGGCGGCCCUGCAAGUCGGGUGUGAAAUCCCACGGCUCAACCGUGGAAGUGCACUCGAAACUGCAGGGCUAGAGUCCUGGAGAGGAAGGUGGAAUGCUUGGUGUAGAGGUGAAAUUCGUAGAUAUCAAGCGGAACACCGGUGGCGAAGGCGGCAUCCUGGACCAAUAUUGACGCUGAGGAGCGAAAGCCAGGGGAGCAAACGGG
rnacentral:rRNA from 1 species